AAUUAUGCAUGCAUACGACCUUCACCCAGAACGUUACGACCUUCACCCAGCAAGUAUGUGAGGCUACUUCCGGUUUUGCUGUCUGCUGUUUAUACUCGUAGCAUUCUUCAAGCAUGAGAGCUCUUACAAAUAAAAAUGAUAAUCGAAUUUGCUGUGUACCUCAAUGUACAGUUAAGGCCUAUAAAUGUCCAACAUUGUCCUUCCAUGAAAUUUCAAAGGAUGAGCAAAUGAAGAAGCUUUGGCUUGUAAGAAUUUGAAGAGACGAAGGACCCCUCUUUCGGAUAGGAAGGUGGACAAAGGUGUGUAGCAGGCACUUUGUGCCAGAAGAUUUUCGCCUUUUACCCUUAAAAGGAAAGCAAAGGAGACUAAAGCCAGAUGCUGUACCAAGCUUGUUUACAUUAAACAACUUUCAGCUUGGGAAAGAGAGAAAGCAGCUGGCAGUUAGCCAUCCCCUGUCACUAGCAAAUAUCAACACCAAUCAGAGCAAAAAUGGGGAUGCUAAGCCCACAACAGAGCCUGCAACGGCAGAGACAGAGCCGGCAACAGCAGCUGCAGAGUCUGUAACAGCAGACAACCCUUCUGUUGAAGAGCAGCUCUCCUUGGCAAAAGAAGAGAAUAAAGUAAAAAAGUUCUUCAAGAGAGGAUACAACAAUUAGAACAUCAUUUGCAAAUGGACAGCAGCAGAAAAAUCGAAAACUUUGGGUUAGAACGUUUUUCACAAGAUGAUGGAAAAAUAGAGUUUUAUACCGGAUUUCCAAAUUAUAACACAUUAAAAAUAUUUGACUGCAGCCUUGUGUCCCUUUCUAUCUGAAAAGAUUCUUGCUGAGUGAUCUGCAAAAAAAAAAAAA
rnacentral:lncRNA from 1 species